AUACGGAGGGUGCAAGCGUUAUCCGGAUUCACUGGGUUUAAAGGGUGCGUAGGUGGGUUGGUAAGUCAGUGGUGAAAUCUUCGAGCUUAACUCGGAAACUGCCAUUGAUACUAUCAGUCUUGAAUAUUGUGGAGGUUAGCGGAAUAUGUCAUGUAGCGGUGAAAUGCUUAGAUAUGACAUAGAACACCAAUUGCGAAGGCAGCUGGCUACACAUAUAUUGACACUGAGGCACGAAAGCGUGGGGAUCAAACAGGAUUAGAUACCCUGGUAGUCCACGCCCUAAACUAUGGAUACUCGACAUACGCGAUACACUGUGUGUGUCUGAGCGAAAGCAUUAAGUAUCCCACCUGGGAAGUACGAUCGCAAGAUUGA
rnacentral:rRNA from 1 species